rnacentral:rRNA from 1 species
AGAGUUUGAUCCUGGCUCAGGAUGAACGCUGGCGGCGUGCCUAACACAUGCAAGUCGAACGGAAUUUACAUGAAGCCUAGCGAUUGUAAAUUUAGUGGCGGACGGGUGAGUAACGCGUGGGUAACCUGCCUUGUACUGGGGGACAACAGUUGGAAACGACUGCUAAUACCGCAUAAGCGCACAGCUUCGCAUGAAGCAGUGUGAAAAACUCCGGUGGUACAAGAUGGACCCGCGUCUGAUUAGCUGGUUGGUGAGGCAACGGCCCACCAAGGCGACGAUCAGUAGCCGGUCUGAGAGGAUGAACGGCCACAUUGGGACUGAGAUACGGCCCAGACUCCUACGGGAGGCAGCAGUGGGGAAUAUUGGGCAAUGGGCGAAAGCCUGACCCAGCAACGCCGCGUGAAGGAAGAAGGCCUUCGGGUUGUAAACUUCUUUUACCAGGGACGAAGGACGUGACGGUACCUGGAGAAAAAGCAACGGCUAACUACGUGCCAGCAGCCGCGGUAAUACGUAGGUUGCAAGCGUUGUCCGGAUUUACUGGGUGUAAAGGGCGUGUAGGCGGAGAUGCAAGUUAGGAGUGAAAUCUAUGGGCUCAACCCAUAAACUGCUUCUAAAACUGUAUCCCUUGAGUAUCGGAGAGGCAAGCGGAAUUCCUAGUGUAGCGGUGAAAUGCGUAGAUAUUAGGAGGAACACCAGUGGCGAAGGCGGCUUGCUGGACGACAACUGACGCUGAGGCGCGAAAGCGUGGGGAGCAAACAGGAUUAGAUACCCUGGUAGUCCACGCUGUAAACGAUGAAUACUAGGUGUGGGGGGACUGACCCCCUCCGUGCCGCAGUUAACACAAUAAGUAUUCCACCUGGGGAGUACGACCGCAAGGUUGAAACUCAAAGGAAUUGACGGGGGCCCGCACAAGCAGUGGAUUAUGUGGUUUAAUUCGACGCAACGCGAAGAACCUUACCAGGACUUGACAUCCAACUAACGAAGUAGAGAUACAUCAGGUGCCCUUCGGGGAAAGUUGAGACAGGUGGUGCAUGGUUGUCGUCAGCUCGUGUCGUGAGAUGUUGGGUUAAGUCCCGCAACGAGCGCAACCCCUAUUGUUAGUUGCUACGAAAGAGCACUCUAGCGAGACUGCCGUUGACAAAACGGAGGAAGGCGGGGACGACGUCAAAUCAUCAUGCCCCUUAUGUCCUGGGCUACACACGUAAUACAAUGGUGGCCAACAGAGGGAAGCGAAGCCGUGAGGCAGAGCAAAUCCCUAAAAGCCAUCUCAGUUCGGAUUGCAGGCUGCAACUCGCCUGCAUGAAGCUGGAAUUGCUAGUAAUCGCGGAUCAGCAUGCCGCGGUGAAUACGUUCCCGGGCCUUGUACACACCGCCCGUCACACCAUGAGAGUCGGGAACACCCGAAGUCCGUAGUCUAGCCGCAAGGGGGGCGCGGCCGAAGGUGGGUCCGGUAAUUGGGGUGAAGUCGUAACAAGGUA